rnacentral:rRNA from 1 species
AUGCCUAUACCGCUACUCCAGAUGGUUGUUGUUGUGGAUAAGGUUGCUGAGGUUGGUGUGGCUGCAGAGGGAAUGGUUGUUAGGGUUGCUGGGGAAUUAUCUGUUCUGCUUGUUCUGGGAAUGCUUGUUGGGGUUGGGGAAAUGGUUGUUGUGGUUGCUGGGGGAACGAUUGUUGUGGUUGCAGAGCGAAUGGUUGUUGGAGUUGCUGGGGGAAUGGUUGUUGAGGCUGGGGAAAUGGUUGUUGUGGUUGCAAGGGGAAUUGUUGUUGGGGCUGGGGAAAAGAUUGUUGUGGUUGUUUGGGUUGCUGGGGGAAUGGUUGUUGUGGUUGGAGGGGGGUUGGUCGUUGGGGUUGAGGAAAUGGUUGUUGUGGUUGAUGCGGGGAAUAUUGUUGGGGUAUGGGAAAUGCUUGCUGUGGAUAUGGUUGCUGCGGAUAUGAUUGUUCUUCCGGAAAUUGUUGUUGUGGUGAUUGCAACUCUUGGUCGCUAG